rnacentral:rRNA from 1 species
GCGAGCGUUGUCCGGAUUCAUUGGGCGUAAAGAGCUCGUAGGCGGCUUGGCAAGUCGGGUGUGAAAACUCCAGGCUCAACCUGGAGACGCCACCCGAUACUGCCAUGGCUAGAGUCCGGUAGGGGACCACGGAAUUCCUGGUGUAGCGGUGAAAUGCGCAGAUAUCAGGAGGAACACCUGUGGCGAAAGCGGCUCACUGGACCACAACUGACGCUGAUGCACGAAAGCUAGGGGAGCAAACAGG